UCUAUUUUGGCAGAUUAGUGCAAUAAAUUUAGAAUUUAUAUAUAUAAUUUUUUUAUUAUAAAUAGAA
rnacentral:tRNA from 1 species